rnacentral:rRNA from 1 species
UGAACGCUGGCGGCGUGCCUAAUACAUGCAAGUCGAGCGAACAGAUGAGGAGCUUGCUCCUCUGACGUUAGCGGCGGACGGGUGAGUAACACGUGGAUAACCUACCUAUAAGACUGGGAUAACUUUGGGAAACCGGAGCUAAUACCGGAUAAUAUAUUGAACCGCAUGGUUCAAUAGUGAAAGACGGUUUUGCUGUCACUUAUAGAUGGAUCCGCGCCGCAUUAGCUAGUUGGUAAGGUAACGGCUUACCAAGGCAACGAUGCGUAGCCGACCUGAGAGGGUGAUCGGCCACACUGGAACUGAGACACGGUCCAGACUCCUACGGGAGGCAGCAGUAGGGAAUCUUCCGCAAAGGGCGAAAGCCUGACGGAGCAACGCCGCGUGAGUGAUGAAGGUCUUCGGAUCGUAAAACUCUGUUAUUAGGGAAGAACAAAUGUGUAAGUAACUAUGCACGUCUUGACGGUACCUAACCAGAAAGCCACGGCUAACUACGUG